AAAUAAGAAGCAAUAUUUGCAUUUAGUUUCGACCUAAAAAUUUGAUUUUAAAAUCCUUAUUUU
rnacentral:tRNA from 1 species